CUCGAAGGUCAUUAUCCAACUUUGCCAUGGUGUUUGACGGAAGAGCAGAUAACCCAUCUUGUAAUGGAAGCUCAUCUGUGCCUAAAAAGCGUUCCUUUCUUUGAGAUUCAAAAACAAACAAACAAACAAACAAACAAACAAACAAACAAAAGCUGCAGGAUUGUUCCUGAGACCUGUCAGUUUGUUUCUCUUUUUCAGUUGGCUUGAAGCUCCGCGGCCAUGAUUUGGGUGGCUGGACAAUGGACAGAGCUCAGAAAUAAACAGUGGUAUGCAGAGGUUUGACACACCUGCUGAACAGUCCAAGGUAGCAACGUCAUUAAUGCUGGAGUGAGGACAAGCAGAAGAGACUUGAUCUCUGGAGGAGCUGGAGACUAUGGUAAACCUCAUAGGCGGCCAGUUGCCCUUACAUGGCCUCCAGUGAGAUUCCAGGACACCAGGUUUCAGAUGUAAGAUUCCAGAACAUAAGAAUGAGAUGACUUACACAGACCCUGCGUGUGUGGCUGGGGAGUACCAAGACUUAAACUAGUAACAGGACUCUAGAGAAAUACAUGAAUGCAUGGUAAGUCAACAGCUGUGUGCUACACAUAUUCUUUGCACAGGCGAGCAGAGCUUCACCCUGAAAUC